AACACAGAUAAAAAUGCCAGGUCUGAACUGCCUCCAGGGAUAACCUCCCCUCUAUAAUAUGAAUGAACACAGCAUCUUGGCUGGGGAAUACAAACGCCAAAAAAUUCACAGUGCAGGCUUGGUGUCUUGCUGAGGCCUCCCAAUUCCCAGCAGUGGUCGGGCUAGCUUUUUUGUGGUUGUUUGUUUCUGUAUUGAAAAGGUGCAUUGGAUUCUAGACCUCCAUGUACGACAAUUUGUACCUACAUGGAUUUGAAGAUUCGGAGGCGGGAUCAGCAGAUUCUUACACUAGCAGACCAUCCGAUUCUGAUGUCUCUCUGGAAGAAGACAGAGAAGCAAUACGCCAAGAGAGAGAACAGCAAGCUGCAGUACAACUUGAGAGAGCCAAGACCAAACCAGUGGCAUUUGCUGUGAGGACGAAUGUGAGUUAUUGCGGGGCCCUGGAUGAAGAUGUCCCUGUACCGGGCACUGCUAUUUCUUUCGAUGCCAAGGAUUUUUUACACAUUAAGGAGAAAUACAACAAUGACUGGUGGAUUGGGAGGUUAGUUAAAGAAGGUUGCGAGAUUGGCUUCAUUCCAAGUCCGCUAAGAUUGGAGAAUAUCAGAAUACAGCAAGAACAGAAGAGAGGAAGAUUUCAUACAGGUAAACCAAGUGGCACUUCUUCUUCUAGCCUUGGAGAAAUGGUAACGGGAACAUUUCGGGCAACCCCACCAUCUGCUGCCAAGCCGAAGCAGAAAGUGACUGAACAUGUUGCGCCUUACGACGUUGUGCCAUCCAUGAGGCCGGUAGUGUUAGUGGGUCCGUCGCUUAAAGGCUAUGAGGUGACGGACAUGAUGCAGAAAGCCCUUUUUGACUUCCUGAAGCACAGGUUUGAUGGGAGGAUAUCCAUCACAAGGGUCACUGCUGACAUUUCUCUGGCCAAGAGAUCGGUACUGAAUAAUCCCAGCAGAAGAGCAAUAAUAGAACGUUCUAACACCAGGUCCAGUUUGGCUGAAGUACAGAGCGAGAUCGAGAGGAUCUUUGAGUUGGCGCGCUCUUUACAGCUCGUGAUUCUCGAUGCAGAUACCAUUAAUCAUCCAGCACAACUAAUCAAGACGUCAUUAGCUCCGAUUAUCGUUCAUGUCAAAGUGUCUUCUCCAAAGGUAUUACAGCGACUCAUCAAAUCCAGAGGAAAAUCCCAAAGCAAACACCUAAAUGUACAACUAGUAGCUGCUGACAAACUUGCCCAAUGCCCACCAGAAAUGUUUGAUGUCAUUUUGGAUGAGAAUCAACUAGAAGACGCCUGUGAGCACUUGGCGGAUUAUCUAGAAGCUUACUGGCGAGCCACACAUACCACUAGUAGCACACCCAUGACUCCUCUUCUGGGAAGAAAUCUAGGAUCUACAGCUCUUACAUCAUAUCCUACAGCGAUCUCUGGAUUACAGAGCCAACGCAUGAGACACAAUAACCAUUCAACUGAAAAUUCGCCCAUCGAGAGAAGAAGCUUAAUGACCUCAGAUGAAAAUUAUCACAAUGAAAUAGCUCGGAAAAGCAGAAACCGCUUGUCUUCCAGUUCUCAACACAGUCGUGACCAUUAUCCUCUUGUGGAAGAAGAGUAUUCUGAUGCCUACCAGGACACUUAUAAACCUCAUCGGAACCGUGGCUCCCCAGGAGGAUAUAGCCAUGAUUCCAGGCACAGGCUUUGAGUUUUUUUGAACUUAUGAAAAACAAAACAAAAAAGAGAUAGUGGUCAUUGACCAGUUUGCUGUCCAGAAAACUUACAGUGCAUUGUUUUGUUAUGCAUUGCAAGUCAUACAGACAACAAAAAGGUCAAGAUACUGACAGCAACAUAAGGUAGAUAGAAUAUACAAAUCAUUUUAUUUUGCCAGCUGUAAGAGUGUCACUUGAUGCUACAUCACAGGCAAAAUGCUUCACCACAUCCAUGAGUAUUUACGUGUAGGUAGAACUUUAUUGUGCCCUCUCGACAGACCUUUUUGCUUUGACAUUUACAUUUGAGCAGUAUGUGCUUACAUGGAUUAUUGCACACAUCCAUUUUGUAGUCUAGGGCAGGGGUCGUCCACUUUACUUCUUGAUAACCUGUGCCAUUUAAGUCUUGGAGAUCUCCUUGCAUGAGGCUCGAUAAAAGGACCUAGUAAAGCAUGGGCGGGUCUUGGAAAGCGACUUGUUCAGGGGUGGGUCUUCACAGUCUCCUUACCUAGACAACAGUGGUUCUAGCAUGGAUAAGUCUCUUAAUGGGUUCUCCAAGGUGUCUUCUAUGAGGAAUACUUGGACAUAUUACAGCUUCUAAUGAUGACAAGAAUGGGUCUCCAAUAGGGUCUUUUUGGUGGUCGCCUUGUGUGUGCAAACAGGAGACUUAAGUUAACCAUAGAAAAUUCAGUGAGUAUAUGUGGGUGUAGGGGAGAAAGAAAAAGCACAGGGAUUUCCUAUAGAUGGACAUGAUCUUAGCUUCCAGCAGAUAUCUUACUAGGUCUGGUGAGACAUCUGUCUCUCAAUAGUUAUUCUAAAAGAUUUGAGAGACCACUCCAGUUGACUUCCAUUGGUGGUCUUCUCAACAGCGUGACCUGUUCAUAGCAUAGGCUUCUGUAUCCAUACAAAGAGAUUCUUAUGGCUUAACCGGCCCAAGACUUUUGAGGAAUUUAGUAGGGGACUCCUGUUUAAGGGUACUUGUCAAGGCACGUAUAGGAACAAUUUCCUGCACUGGGAAAUUUCCAAAAGAACAGUUCCAGUUGGAACCAAUUUAUAAAGCCAAUUCCUGUUGGAAUUUGGGUAAAUUGACUGGAAAGUCUACUUGAGCAUGUUGCAUUCACUUUAAAAUAAACUGGACAGGAUUAUGGGUGGGAUGGGUGUAGACAAAGAGAACAUUUAAUAAUAAAAAAAGAAAUAAAAUAAAAUCUCUAUACCGUACAUUUAUUUUUACUAUAUAGUAUAAAACAUAUCAACAGUUUUCAUAAAACCAAUAAUAAUAAUACACAAGAAAAUACACAGAACUCCAAAGUGACUUUUAAAACUUUCCAAAAAUCUGAUUUGAAAUCUUUUAAAUUUUUACAGAAAUGCUCAGAUGUUUGUUCUUUGUUUUUUAGUCUGUGUAUGUUAAAACAAUAGAGAUGAACUGGGCAAUAAUGAUGUCAGUUUACAUCAGAAGUAAUGCGCUUUGGACAAAACCUUAGCAAAAUAUCAUACCGGAUUAUUUAUUUCCUACAGAUAAAAAAAAAAAUCUUAUUUUCUGGUUUAAUGCAAAAAAAGACAUAUUUUGCUAACUGUAAUGUGUUUCUGCUAUAGAAAAUCGGGGUAAUGUCAAUGUUGAAUGUUAACCUUGGCCAGGCACCUUUAGGUACCAAAAUAUAUAUUUAAUAUAUCUUAUAUAUAAAAUGGUUGAUAAUCAUUUUUCAUAUACAGAGCUCCAAACUACCCCCAUAGACAUAGAGAAAAAGGGAAGUUUUGCGUACUCAGAACUUCUGACAGACUUAUAAGGAGUUAUACAGUAAGUGAUAAGUGCCCAGGAGAAGGAUCAUUCAUGAUAAGUGCCCAGGAGGAGGAUCUUACAUGAUAAGUGCCCAGAAGGAGGAUCAUUCAUGAUAAGUGCUCAGGAGAAGGAUCAUUCAUGAUAAGUGCCCAGGAGGAGGAUCAUUCAUGAUAAGUGCCCAAACUCUAAGCCCUUCCCCAGCCACUUCUCUUAGCUUUAAUUCUCCGCUCUAGUAGUCACCUAUUUGGAUACUAGAGCUGUCACUCAGAGCUAAGAGGAGGGGCAAGGAAAGCUCACUUGGCCUGAAGGGUCCACCUCCUGAGCACUUGCAAUAUCGGCGCUCAGGAUAAUAAAGCAUAUUUUUCCUUGGCUGUGCAACCUGCAUAGUAAGAACCUUAGGUAUGAGUUUACUUCUCUGGCUGCAAACCAUUGAAAGACUGAGUUGUGCAAUAGUUUCAUGUAUCACAAUAAAGGUUAAUUAAUAAGACAAAUCAUGUGGAAAAAAAAAAAAGGUUAAAGCCCCAACCUAACAUCAACUCUCACAAUAGAGAUUUAUCAAAACUAUCGCAGAACUGGAUUGGAAAACCAAUAUCCAAUCCAGUUCUUGUUUUCACUAUUCAAAAAGAGUCUGAAUCAGUUUGCUAUGAGCAACUACCCCAUGACAUUUUUGAUAAAUUUCCUGCAAUGUUAUGCACUUGCCAAUGGGCGGUGUAAAUUUAGCACUAAACUGAAAAUUCCAUCUGCACUUGGAGACUCAACUGAAAGAGUGUGAUAGUCUGCAUUGUUGGUGAUGUCCUUGGACCUUGAAUUAAAACACUAAAUUCAAAUGAUGAAUGGUCCCCCCCCCCCCCCAGCCAAAAAAAAUAUAAUAAUAAUAAUAAUAAUACCACAUCCAACCUGAGGACAGGGGUGAUGCACUUAAAAAAAAAAAAAAAAAAAGAAAUUAGCUUUGUUUUUCUAUUCCUGUAGUUUUUGGCACAGAGGGUGUGGUUAACCAUAAUAUUGCUGGAUUAGAAAUAUGUGCAGUAUGAUAUGUACACCUAUUUUUCAUGACCCUAGUUGCAUUACAAUAGAAUGAGAUAAAACAAAUGGUGCCUUCAUUUAGAACUCAUUGACAUCUAAUGUACAGAAACGUUAUCUGUGUAUGGUAUAAAUUGGAGGACAUAUUAAAACAGCGCUGUAUAAUGGGUGUUUUUUUUUUUUGUAGAAUAGAAUUUAUGGUGUGUAGGAAAUCUUUAAAAAUGUCUCAGUAGGAUGGCUUAAGACAAAACAUAUUUAUUUGCCUUAAAUGCCUUUUUAUCAUGUCGGUAGCACUCCAGCACUGAGCAGGUUAAUGGGAUUGGUUGAUAUAGUCAUGUGAUUACAGUAAGGCGUGUUAACGUAAAUCUACCAACAUGUCUGUUACAUGUAGACACAGUAGCUUAAAGGGAUAGGGGAUAAGAUGUCUGAUCAUGGGGGUCCUGCCACUGGGGACCCCUACGAUCUCGGCUGCAGCAGUCACGCCCCCUCCCAUAGACCUGCAUUGAGGGGGUGUGGUUGUGAUGUCACGAGCCUCCGGCGCUGCACCCGACGCUCUAAACGAACGCCGGGUGCAGCAGGGAGAUCACAGGGGUCCCAAGCGCUGGGGCCCCCGCGAUCAGACAUCUUAUCCCCUAUACUUUUGAUAGGGAAUAAGAUGUCUAGGAGAGGAGUUCCCCUUUAAGCUCCUGAGCCCCGAUGCAAAUAUGUGCUGGGGCUUAUACAACGUCAUACCCUCAUGUACUACUGGGAAUAGUAGAGAAGUUUCAGGCAGACAUUUUGUGUGUAGAAGGUGCUGGCAAAAUAAAUUUGCGCUAGGACUGGACGGAUAUGCGCGGUCCUCAUUGACAGCAAUGCAUGUUCAAUCUUUAGUCCGGAUUCUGCUGUGGAAAUUCUGCAGUGUGAACAGGUCAAUGGAAAUCCCAUUGGCUACAAUGUUAGCUUCAUGCUGCGGGAUUUCUGAGGGAAAAUUCCAUAGUGUGAAUGGGCCCAUAUGUGGCAUAGGGGCCUUAGAGCACCCUAUCCUCAGCUUAUGUCAUGCAUGUAUAUAUAGGCAUACUCUUGAUUUACUUCUGGCACUAACACUGAUCAGCUGUUUGCUAGAGCCAAGGUUCUGGCAUACACAGAAAAACAGAGCUGGAAACUGACAGCACCAUACAUUGUGUAGUGGCCAUGUAGGGUUACUGCAACUUAGCUCCUAUUGAAGUAACUUAGCACAGGCAUUACACAACAUAAGAUGUUUGCCUUCAACUCUAUCUUCCUGUGUAUGCCAUCGGCUCUGGUAAAUAGCUGAUUGGUGAGGGUGCCUGGUAUUGGGUCUGGCAAACAGCUUUUUGGUUGGGGUGCCAGCUAUUGGGUCUGGCAAACAGCUCAUCUGUGAGGGUGCCUGGUAUUGGGUCUGGCAAACAGUUGACCAGUGGGGGUAUCAGAUAUUGGGUCUGGCAAACAGCUAAUCGGUGGGAGUAUCAGGUAUAGGGUCUAGUAACAGCUAAUCGAUGGGGAUGCCAGGUAUUGGGUCUGGCAAACAGCUGAUUGGUGGGGAUGCCAUGUGUUGGGUCUGGCAAACAGCUUAUGAGUGGGGGUGCUAGGUAUUGGGUCAGCAUACAGCUGAUUGGUGAGGGUACCAGGUAUAGGGUUUAGCAAACUGCUGAUCAGUGGGGGUGCCAGGUAUUGGGUCUGGCAAACUGGUGAUUGGUGGGGGGUGUCAGGUAUUGGAUCUGGCGAACAAGUGAUUGGUGGGUGUGUCAGGUGUUGGUUCUAGCACACAGUUGAUUGGUGGAGGUGCCAGGUAUCGGGUCUGGCAAACAAAAUCUUUAGACAUAUGCUUUGUAUACGGUAAUUUAUUUGGGAACCAUACUGGAAGAAUGAAAUGGAGCAGUAUAGCUAUAGAGGGUUCAGAGGUAGCUGCUGGGUCCUUUGCCUGAGGGGGUGGGGGGAGGGGGGCAUGGGCCACAUAUGGCACAUAGUAGGUGGGUGAUCCUGUUACAUAUUUUGCAUUGAGACGACGGAGCUUCAGGUUAUGUCACUGAUUUAACCCUUCAAACAACUCUAAGCAACCAAGUCUUCGAUAUAUCUUCAUAGCUUGAUCAUGAAUGGACAAGCUACACUGCUGGACAUUAUUGCAGAGGCUGAUAAGAGGAAACAGGGCUAACACUUGGCAGCCCUGCUCCCGAGGACACUGCCCAUGGGAUAUUAUGUGAAGGUGGGGUGGGAUGAUGAGCACAGAGCCGUUCACUAUAGUUCUCCUUUAGAGUAUAUUAACAGGGGGCAGUAGUGCGGCACGGUUUUUACCAUGCAGGACACUACCUCCCUCCUGUAGGAAUACACUAGAAACUAGCUUUACUUUACAAUUGAUCCAUCCAUGUUCACAUGUAUGUGUCUGUGGUAGUGAUGUCGUAUUGUAGGCUCUAUGAAAUUGCUUGAAUUUCCUUUUUUUUUUUCGUUUUUUUUUUUUUUAAAGAAGCCCCUAUAUUUUUAUAAGAAUCAUAUACCAGAGCAGAGGCAGGAUCACGUAUAUACAUAUAGCACAAAAUUCACUUCACAUUUCGUAUGUAUACUCGCCGGCUGUUCGGAACGCUCUGAACUGUCCAAAAGGAGAAAACGUCUCCUUAUUGCCCAUAGCAACACCAAUCGGAGUUCAGCUUUUACUUAUUAAACUGUGCUGUAAAAUGAAAGCAUGAAUGGUUCCUAUGGCAACACAAUAGGCCUCAUUGAUCCCAAAAAUAUUUUUGCCAUUCUGUAUGAACGGUUGCUAUGGGCCUCACUGAUCAAAAGUGUCCCAUAGCAACCUUUCCUUCUAACAGGCUAAAAUGAAAGCAGCUCUAUGAUUGGUUGCUAUCGGCGACAAGGACAAUUUUUUUGUUUUGGCAGCCCUGCUCGUGUUUGUAGAUGGAGGCCUAGUUUUUCAGUAGUGUCAAGUGCAACUCGUAGCCCAACAUUUUUUGCUCAUAAAAUUGGCAGAGAUUCAGGGUAAGGUCACACGUACCGUCUUUUGCUGCAUAUUUUCUGCAGCUGAUUUUGCUACCCAUUGACCUCAAUGGGUAGGAAACUACACAGCAGCAAAUACAGAGCAAAAAACGGCAUUGAUGACCCUACCCUAACGCCCUAACGGCAAUUAUGACUCCUCGUAGAUCAGUAGUGUGGAUCAUAUUGCCCAAUGGGGCACCAUUUUGGAUAUAUAAUACACACUGACACUCAGCCUUAGUACAUUUACCCAUCCCUAGACUGAUGAAGAGCUAACCAGCCAAAAAAUAAAAUAAAGUCAGAAGUAAAUCUCUGUAUUUGGGGGGGGGGGAUGGGUCUGUAGUGAUUUGGUUAAAAAAUGUAUGGUCUAUUCAGCAGAAAAAAACUAGCUAUAAAAGAAUAAUUGUCCAAAAGAGGACUACUUCAAUUAUUGGUAUAGUACAGUGGUCUCCAAACUGUGGCCCUCCAGCUGUUGCAAGACUACAACUCCCAGCAUGCCCGGACAGCCGUUGGCUGUCCGGGCAUGCUGGGAGUUGUAGUUUUGCAACAGCUGGAGGCACCCUGGUUGGGAAACAAUGGUUUAUGUAGAGGACAGUAGCUUCUUCAGGGUCCUAUACAGUACACACAGUGUCCCAAAUGGAGCCACCCUUACUUGGUGUCCAAAGGAGCAGCUAAACCUGGCACAGGUAAGGAGUAGUAUAGAACUUGUAGUUCCUCCCUGUACUGUAGGGGGCGCUACCGGACAUCAAAAUGGUGCAUGCACUUCAGUAAUAGAGGUGAUUUACCAGUAAAAUGUCCAUUCUGAUUGGUCAGUUCCUCCAGUUGUGACACGUUUCACAGAUCUGGACUGUCUGUACAUUGUAUGUUGAGUCUGGUUUCAAGUUACGAUGGUCCAGAAAAAAACAUUGUGGCCCUCAUUUACUUAGAAAAUCGGGUUGUAAGUCUACCUUGCUUUCUUACCCGACUGCUUUUUUCCCCUGGUAUUUAUUAUUAUGUCGCAUCCUGUUUGUCGCACGUGGGUUUUGUCGGUUUUGGUUUCCAACUCCUCUGAGCUGUCGGGAAAAAAUCCACAACAAUUCAACAAAUUCGGGUUGGAAACCUUUAUAAAUACGUGGGAAAGCUCAGAAAUGUCGGGUUACGCCCCUUUUUCGGGUUUGGGAGAAUCCACAUCGGGUCCGUCGGGGAAAAAUGUUGCAUCGUGUCCAGACUGGCGCACCAUGUCUGCGACAUGGCGCAGACAAAGAUGCGACAAAAAAAAACGACAAAAGAAGUCGGGUUUAGAAUAGUAAAUGAGGGCCUGUAUGUUGAAACUAUUGUAUGUUGAGGCCAUUGUAAGUUGAGGGAUCACUGUAUGUUCCUUGGAUGGUGCCAGGCGGAGCACCAGGAGAGGUCUUCUAGGUCAAUUUUCACAGUAAACUACUUUGCAAAGUAUGAACAGUGUACAAAAGCAAAUUCGGGGGGCCUUCUCCUGGUGUGGGCCCUAGAAUAAAAUAUUAGCUAUUCAGUUCUAGAUUUGUCCUAAUGUGCUGCAACGACUGUAAAUAGUCCCAGCAACCCCUUUAGAUCUGGUGUGGCUGAAUUGUGUAAUCUGGUCCCCCACAUCUCUCAAGUCCCAUAGCACUGCUGUCUGUAUGUAGGCCAUAGGAUUGCAAUUUUCAAUUUAAAGGGGUUGUCUAAGGCUGGGUUCACACCACGUUUUUCAAAUACGGUUACCGUAUGCGGUUUUCCGCUAAAAAACGUAUGGCAAAAACCGUAUGCAACCGUAUACAACCGUAUGACUCCAAAUUAAAACGUAUAUGGUUUUUCCUCGUACGGUUCUAUCCGUUUGCAUCAGUUUUUGCCAACGGUUUUGCUAUUUUGUUGGAAUUAGUUUUCCAGCAAUGUAAUAAAGUUACUAUUGUUCUAUUGAAAUUCCAAUCUGCGCAUGUGUCAACUCCAAAAACGGAUUAGAAAAACCGUGUGCAACCAUAUUCUGAAAUUCUGUGUACGGUUCUCAUAGACAACAAUGUUAAAAGAACCGCAUACGGUUCGCAUACGGUUUUCCAACUGGAGGCAAAAACGUGGUCGACAGCAUUUUUGCCUACGGUUGAAAAAUCGGCAAAACCGUAUCCGAGGCAAAACGGAUGCAACCGUACACAACAUUUGGAAUACGGUUUACAAUGCAUUCUCUAUGCAUACGGUUUCAGAUACGGUUUCGGAUACGGUCGUAUACGUUUUUUUUGCGGAAAACCGUAUAUGGUUACCGUAUUUGAAAAACGUGGUGUGAACGCAGCCUAACAAAGAUAGCACCAGUUCAUAUGCCCUGUUAGCACUCCUGAACAUCAACAUCCCUCUAUAUCAGUG